GGCCACGGUGGGAAUCGAUGGGCUAGUAUUCCAAAGGUCGUCGGUUCGAUUCCCACCGUGGCCA